AACGAACGCUGGCGGCAUGCCUAACACAUGCAAGUCGAACGAGACCUUCGGGUCUAGUGGCGCACGGGUGCGUAACGCGUGGGAAGCUGCCCUUAGGUUCGGAAUAACUCCCCGACAGGGGUGCUAAUACCGGAUAAUGUCUUCGAACCAAAGAUUUAUCGCCUUUGGAUGGGCCCGCGUUGGAUUAGCUAGUUGGUAGGGUAAAAGCCUACCAAGGCGACGAUCCAUAGCUGGUCUGAGAGGAUGAUCAGCCACACUGGGACUGAGACACGGCCCAGACUCCUACGGGAGGCAGCAGUGGGGAAUAUUGGACAAUGGGCGAAAGCCUGAUGCAGCAAUGCCGCGUGAGUGAUGAAGGCCUUAGGGUUGUAAAGCUCUUUUACCCGGGAUGAUAAUGACAGUACCGGGAGAAUAAGCGCCGGCUAACUCCGUG
rnacentral:rRNA from 1 species